AUUGAACGCUGGCGGCAGGCCUAACACAUGCAAGUCGAGCGGAUGAAGGGAGCUUGCUCCUGGAUUCAGCGGCGGACGGGUGAGUAAUGCCUAGGAAUCUGCCUGGUAGUGGGGGAUAACGUCCGGAAACGGGCGCUAAUACCGCAUACGUCCUGAGGGAGAAAGUGGGGGAUCUUCGGACCUCACGCUAUCAGAUGAGCCUAGGUCGGAUUAGCUAGUUGGUGGGGUAAGGGCCUACCAAGGCGACGAUCCGUAACUGGUCUGAGAGGAUGAUCAGUCACCCUGGAACUGAGACACGGUCCCGACUCCUACGGGAGGCAGCAGUGGGGAAUAUUGGACAAUGGGCGAAAGCCUGAUCCAGCCAUGCCGCGUGUGUGAAGAAGGUCUUCGGAUUGUAAAGCACUUUAAGUUGGGAGGAAGGGCAGUAAGUUAAUACCUUGCUGUUUUGACGUUACCAACAGAAUAAGCACCGGCUAACUUCGUG
rnacentral:rRNA from 1 species